AUGCUGCUGCCUGCUACACUUUGCAGGAGCUGGGAACUGGAGAAGUCACAAGCACUGCAGGAGCCUAAUGCUGGAGAAAAUGCCUGUGAUGCAGGGGCUGGACACUGGAGAAGCUGUGUGCAACACAGGAGCCAGGGGCUGGAGAAGCUCUGUGUGCUACGGGAGCCUGCCAGGACUGGUGGUAUCCUUAUAAGAAGAGAAAGAGACACCAGCAAUGCAUGUGCACAGAGAAAAGACCAUGUGAGGACACGGCCAUCUGCAAGCCAAGGAGAGAGGCCUCACCAGAAACCAUCCCUUGCUCUUGAAUUGCUAGCCCCCAGAACUGUGAGAAAAUAAAUUUCUGUUAAGCCACCUAGUGUAUGAUAUUUUAUUAUGGCACUCCUAACAAACUAAUACACCUAUCAUGGCAUGUAAAGACAUGAAAAUGGAUAUCAUCACCUAGGAAGCAAGUGUAAGAGUAGAGGGAUCAGCUUUGAGUCUUGAGGAAUACCAAUGUUGAGUGGCCAAAUGAGCCAAGAUAAAGCAGCAAAGGAGAUUAAUAAAGUUAAUGGGAAACUGACAGGAAAAAAAAGUUAUAAAAGCCAAAAGAGGAAAAUGUUUUAACAGGGAAGGAACAGCUGGGUUUAAUGCUGCUGCUAGAUUGGGUAAGUUGAUGAUGAAAGAGUUCGCUGAAUAGGAAGCAUGCUGAUGGCAACAAGGGUAGUUUCUGAGCCAUGCAUGGCAAAAUACACUAAAAACAAAGUUAAACAGAAGCCUCCAAAAACAGACUGGGAGAAAAAUAUUUACACACACACACACACACCACACCACACAGAAAGAGAGAGAGAGAAAGAGAGAGAGAGGGAGAAUACUAUCCGUAACACAGAAAGCACUGCUAUAAUUCAAUAAGAUCACUGAAUAGGGAAAAACUGGGCAAAGAAUAUGAUAAAGAAAUUCUUAGAAGAAAUGUGAUGCUUGGUCUCACUUAUUAGGGAAAUGUCCAUUAACUACGAGAUACCACAUUUUGUUAUUUAUAUUGUAAAAUAUUUAAUAUUUUGUAAUAUCCAGGUAUGCAAAGAUACUCUCAUAUUUUUGGAGAAUAUGUAAAGCCUUUUUGAAGAAUAAUUUAGUGUUACCCAUCAAAAUAAUAUUGCUUAUAUCUGUUUUCCAUUAAUUUUACUUCUAAGAAUUUUUCCUGCAGAG
rnacentral:lncRNA from 1 species